UUAAGUUAUUAAGGGCGCACGGUGGAUGCCUUGGCACUAGAAGCCGAUGAAGGACGUUACUAACGACGAUAUGCUUUGGGGAGCUGUAAGUAAGCUUUGAUCCAGAGAUUUCCGAAUGGGGAAACCCAGCAUGAGUUAUGUCAUGUUAUCGAUAUGUGAAUACAUAGCAUAUCAGAAGGCACACCCGGAGAACUGAAACAUCUUAGUACCCGGAGGAAGAGAAAGAAAAUUCGAUUCCCUUAGUAGCGGCGAGCGAAACGGGAAGAGCCCAAACCAACAAGCUUGCUUGUUGGGGUUGUAGGACACUCUAUACGGAGUUACAAAGGACGACAUUAGACGAAUCAUCUGGAAAGAUGAAUCAAAGAAGGUAAUAAUCCUGUAGUCGAAAAUGUUGUCUCUCUUGAGUGGAUCCUGAGUACGACGGAGCACGUGAAAUUCCGUCGGAAUCUGGGAGGACCAUCUCCUAAGGCUAAAUACUCUCUAGUGACCGAUAGUGAACCAGUACCGUGAGGGAAAGGUGAAAAGCACCCCGGAAGGGGAGUGAAAUAGAACCUGAAACCGUGUGCUUACAAGUAGUCAGAGCCCGUUAAUGGGUGAUGGCGUGCCUUUUGUAGAAUGAACCGGCGAGUUACGAUUUGAUGCAAGGUUAAGCAGUAAAUGUGGAGCCGUAGCGAAAGCGAGUCUGAAUAGGGCGUUUAGUAUUUGGUCGUAGACCCGAAACCAGGUGAUCUACCCUUGGUCAGGUUGAAGUUCAGGUAACACUGAAUGGAGGACCGAACCGACUUACGUUGAAAAGUGAGCGGAUGAACUGAGGGUAGCGGAGAAAUUCCAAUCGAACCUGGAGAUAGCUGGUUCUCUCCGAAAUAGCUUUAGGGCUAGCCUCAAGUGAUGAUUAUUGGAGGUAGAGCACUGUUUGGACGAGGGGCCCCUCUCGGGUUACCGAAUUCAGACAAACUCCGAAUGCCAAUUAAUUUAACUUGGGAGUCAGAACAUGGGUGAUAAGGUCCGUGUUCGAAAGGGAAACAGCCCAGACCACCAGCUAAGGUCCCAAAAUAUAUGUUAAGUGGAAAAGGAUGUGGCGUUGCCCAGACAACUAGGAUGUUGGCUUAGAAGCAGCCAUCAUUUAAAGAGUGCGUAAUAGCUCACUAGUCGAGUGACACUGCGCCGAAAAUGUACCGGGGCUAAACAUAUUACCGAAGCUGUGGAUUGUCCUUUGGACAAUGGUAGGAGAGCGUUCUAAGAGCGUUGAAGCAUGAUCGUAAGGACAUGUGGAGCGCUUAGAAGUGAGAAUGCCGGUGUGAGUAGCGAAAGACGGGUGAGAAUCCCGUCCACCGAUUGACUAAGGUUUCCAGAGGAAGGCUCGUCCGCUCUGGGUUAGUCGGGUCCUAAGCUGAGGCCGACAGGCGUAGGCGAUGGAUAACAGGUUGAUAUUCCUGUACCACCUAUAAUCGUUUUAAUCGAUGGGGGACGCAGUAGGAUAGGCGAAGCGUGCGAUUGGAUUGCACGUCUAAGCAGUAAGGCUGAGUAUUAGGCAAAUCCGGUACUCGUUAAGGCUGAGCUGUGAUGGGGAGAAGACAUUGUGUCUUCGAGUCGUUGAUUUCACACUGCCGAGAAAAGCCUCUAGAUAGAAAAUAGGUGCCCGUACCGCAAACCGACACAGGUAGUCAAGAUGAGAAUUCUAAGGUGAGCGAGCGAACUCUCGUUAAGGAACUCGGCAAAAUGACCCCGUAACUUCGGGAGAAGGGGUGCUCUUUAGGGUUAACGCCCAGAAGAGCCGCAGUGAAUAGGCCCAAGCGACUGUUUAUCAAAACACAGGUCUCUGCUAAACCGUAAGGUGAUGUAUAGGGGCUGACGCCUGCCCGGUGCUGGAAGGUUAAGAGGAGUGGUUAGCUUCUGCGAAGCUACGAAUCGAAGCCCCAGUAAACGGCGGCCGUAACUAUAACGGUCCUAAGGUAGCGAAAUUCCUUGUCGGGUAAGUUCCGACCCGCACGAAAGGCGUAACGAUUUGGGCACUGUCUCAACGAGAGACUCGGUGAAAUCAUAGUACCUGUGAAGAUGCAGGUUACCCGCGACAGGACGGAAAGACCCCGUGGAGCUUUACUGUAGCCUGAUAUUGAAAUUCGGCACAGCUUGUACAGGAUAGGUAGGAGCCUUUGAAACGUGAGCGCUAGCUUACGUGGAGGCGCUGGUGGGAUACUACCCUAGCUGUGUUGGCUUUCUAACCCGCACCACUUAUCGUGGUGGGAGACAGUGUCAGGCGGGCAGUUUGACUGGGGCGGUCGCCUCCUAAAAGGUAACGGAGGCGCUCAAAGGUUCCCUCAGAAUGGUUGGAAAUCAUUCAUAGAGUGUAAAGGCAUAAGGGAGCUUGACUGCGAGACCUACAAGUCGAGCAGGGUCGAAAGACGGACUUAGUGAUCCGGUGGUUCCGCAUGGAAGGGCCAUCGCUCAACGGAUAAAAGCUACCCCGGGGAUAACAGGCUUAUCUCCCCCAAGAGUUCACAUCGACGGGGAGGUUUGGCACCUCGAUGUCGGCUCAUCGCAUCCUGGGGCUGUAGUCGGUCCCAAGGGUUGGGCUGUUCGCCCAUUAAAGCGGUACGCGAGCUGGGUUCAGAACGUCGUGAGACAGUUCGGUCCCUAUCCGUCGUGGGCGUAGGAAAUUUGAGAGGAGCUGUCCUUAGUACGAGAGGACCGGGAUGGACAUACCUCUGGUGUACCAGUUGUCGUGCCAACGGCAUAGCUGGGUAGCUAUGUGUGGACGGGAUAAGUGCUGAAAGCAUCUAAGCAUGAAGCCCCCUCAAGAUGAGAUUUCCCAACUUCGGUUAUAAGAUCCCUCAAAGAUGAUGAGGUUAAUAGGUUCGAGGUGGAAGCAUGGUGACAUGUGGAGCUGACGAAUACUAAUCGAUCGAAGACUUAAUCAA
rnacentral:rRNA from 1 species